rnacentral:rRNA from 1 species
UAUGUGAUCGUCUCUCGCAUAUCAAUAAGCGGAGGAAAAGAAACUAACAAGGAUCCCCUAGUAACGGCGAGUGAAGCGGGAAGAGCUCAAAUUUGAAAUCUUAAAGGGUUUCCCUUUACGAAUUGUAGUUUAAAGAAGUGUUUUCUGUUGAGGUUUUGGUAAAAGUUCUUUGGAAUAGGACAUCAUAGAGGGUGAGAAUCCCGUAUUUGACCUUUACUUUCAACUUUGUGAUACACUUUCAAAGAGUCGGAUUGUUUGGGAAUGCAGUCCAAAAUGGGUGGUAAAUUUCAUCUAAAGCUAAAUAUUGGCGAGAGACCGAUAGCGAACAAGUACCGUGAGGGAAAGAUGAAAAGAACUUUGAAAAGAGAGUUAAACAGUACGUGAAAUUGUCAAAAGGGAAGCGUUUGACACCAGUGUUGUUUUUCUGAAAAUCAAUUAAAGAACUGUUUAUGCUAAGCUGUUUAGACUUUAUCAGCUAAUCUGUUUAGUUUUGAGCUUUUCUUUAAUGCACUUUUCAGUUAACAAGUCAACAUCAAUUUCUUUUGCUGUAAAAAAGCUUGAGGAAGGUGGCUUGAGAUUCGUCUUAAGUGUUUAUAGCCUCUUGCCUAUGCAGUCGGAGAGAUUGAGGUCUGCAGCGUAGAUCCUUCGGGGCUAAAUGCAUUUGUGCUAAGUUAUAGCAUUUUAUAGACAACUUGUUGACUAUGAUUUGUCUUGUAGCUUACUCGCUUAUGUUAUUUUACCUACGCUUAGGAUGUUGAUCUACAGAGCGAGAGU